AGUCCGUCGAUCCGCCGAUUGGUCGAUUAGCUCGGCCCUUUGCUGCGUAAAACCGGAGGAUCCGAAAACUAUCGGGAGACUAAAUUCGCCACCACGUGGCUCUGAGGAAUUCGAUUGAUUCAGUUUCGCGUGGACGGGCCGUACGACGAGUUCUGUGCACCGAGUUUCGCGUCGUUCUUGAGGUUCGUACGUAAAAGUUGAAAGUUGAGAAAAUCGGCGUCCGGUUAACGGCCGCCAGUGAACGUGAUAAAGUGAUAAAACGUUGCUGAAAAUUUAAUCGCGACAUACCAUCGUUGUAAAGUGGUGAAAGUGUGGAUAAUAUACCUCGGCGGUCACAUUCGAAGCGUGACCACGGUGAAGCGUUUAGUGUAUUUUUUUUGGUGGUUAACGAACGGCCUCAAGAUUCAGCUCGAUAUUAUGCCCUGGUUCAUUUUAUUUCUGCUCCUGCUAGCUGUGAUGGAGGUUUUCCCGAGGGAGGCUACCUGUUCGAAACUUCCGGACAUACACUGGAACGCCACCAAUCCAAUGUGAGUAAACUUUCGUUAUCGCUAACAAUAAGAUCAUCGUUCUCCGAAAUCGACCAAUGGGAGGGUCGAUAUCGCCCCAACUGACUUUGAAACGACCUAUACUUUUUGCGGAUAUCCCGCCAUCUACAUGUCAUUCGAUUAACCUAACGCGGGAUACACGUGAGAGCGUAUGUUUUCUGUAUCCCCGCAUUUCUGGAUGAGCUUUUCCUCAUAUCGUCGUCGGUCCGGAUAUUCCGGAUCUGGUGUUGCA
rnacentral:misc_RNA from 1 species